rnacentral:rRNA from 1 species
AUGCUCCUGGUGAACAAUAAAAUUGGGAAAAUAGAACAAACAAUUCUGAUUUCUUUUGUGACAACCUUUGACAAAUUUUCUAUGUGCUUCCCAAAAUUCAUCAUGAAUGAACAUUCCUGGAAGUCAUGGCAAAAAAAAAAAAUCAAUACUCCAAAAAUGCUUUUUUUGAAAGCAUUUUGCAUUUUGGAGUAUUGGUUUUUUUUCCAUGACUUGCAUGAAUGUCAUUUCGUGAUGAAAAUUUUCAAGCAUAGAAAAGUUUUGUCAAAGGUUACCACAAAAAAAAGUUCAGAUUUUUUUAUUUUUUUAUUUUCUUUCAGUUUUACUGUUAGCCCGAGCUCAUUUGAGCUCGGGAGUGGAAGAACACUUCCAGAGAUAGUCUCCUUAUUUGGCAUAGCUCGUCAUUAG